rnacentral:misc_RNA from 1 species
AACGCACAUUGCGCCCUUUGGUAUUCCGAAGGGCAUGCCUGUUCGAGCGUCAUUAUCCCCCCUCAAGCCCCGUGCUUGGUGUUGGAGCUUGGAUUUCCUCACGGAGAUCUCUCCCAAAGACAAUGACGGCGGUCUCGUGGAACCCCCGGUACACUGAGCUUCUUUGGAGCACGUAUCGGACCUCAAGUGGUGCCCGGGACCCGGUCUCUUUACAUCUUUUUUAAAAGGUUGACCUCGGAUCAGGUAGGAAUACCCGCUGAACUUAA